GAUGAACGCUGGCGGCGUGCCUAAUACAUGCAAGUCGAGCGAACGGACGAUAUGCUUGCUUCUCUGAUGUUAGCGGCGGACGGGAGAGUAACAUGUGGAUAACCUACCUAUAAGACAGGGAUAACAUCGGGAAACCGGAGCUAAUACCGGACGCUAUUUUGAACCGCAUGGUUGAAAAGUUCAAGCCGGUCUUGCUGUCACUUAUACAUGGAUCCGCGCUGCAUUAGCUGGUUGGUAAGGUAACGGCUUACCAAGGCGACGAUGGAUAGCCGACCUGAGAGGGUGAUCGGCGACAGUGGAGCUGAGACGCGGUACAGAGUCCUACGGGAGGCAGCAGUAGGGAAGCGUGCGCGAAGGGCGGAAGACUGACGGAGCAGCGCCAGGUGGGUGAUGAAGGUCUUCGGAUCGUAAGACUCUGUUAUUGGGGAAGAACGUAUGUGUAAGUAACUGUGCACAUCUUGACGGUACCUAAACAGGAAGCCACGGCUAACUACGUG
rnacentral:rRNA from 1 species